rnacentral:rRNA from 1 species
GAUGAACGCUGGCGGCGUGCCUAAUACAUGCAAGUCGAGCGAACGGACGAGAAGCUUGCUUCUCUGAUGUUAGCGGCGGACGGGUGAGUAACACGUGGAUAACCUACCUAUAAGACUGGGAUAACUUCGGGAAACCGUAGCUAAUACCGGAUAAUAUUUUGAACCGCAUGGUUCAAAAGUGAAAGACGGUCUUGCUGUCACUUAUAGAUGGAUCCGCGCUGCAUUAGCUAGUUGGUAAGGUAACGGCUUACCAAGGCAACGAUGCAUAGCCGACCUGAGAGGGUGACCGGCCACACUGGAACGGAGACACGGUCAAGACUCCUACGGGAGGCAGCAGUAGGGAACCUUCCGCAAUGGGCGAAAGCCUGACGGAGCAACGCCGCGUGAGUGAUGAAGGUCUUCGGAUCGUAAAAUUCUGUUAUUAGGGAAGAACAUAUGUGUAAGUAACUGUGCACAUCUUGACGGUACCUAAUCAGAAAGCCACGGCUAACUACGUG